UACGGAGGGUGCAAGCGUUAUCCGGAUUUACUGGGUUUAAAGGGUGUGUAGGCGGGCUUUAAGUCAGUGGUGAAAUCUCCGGGCUCAACCUGGAAACUGCCAUUGAAACUGUUAGACUUGAGGACGAGAGAGGUGAGUGGAAUUCCCAGUGUAGAGGUGAAAUUCGUAGAUAUUGGGAAGAACACCGGUGGCGAAGGCGGUCAUC
rnacentral:rRNA from 1 species